CCUACGGGUGGCAGCAGUGAGGAAUAUUGGUCAAUGGACGAGAGUCUGAACCAGCCAAGUAGCGUGAAGGAUGACUGCCCUAUGGGUUGUAAACUUCUUUUAUAUGGGAAUAAAAUGUUCCACGUGUGGGAUUUUGUAUGUACCAUAUGAAUAAGGAUCGGCUAACUCCGUGCCAGCAGCCGCGGUAAUACGGAGGAUACGAGCGUUAUCCGGAUUUAUUGGGUUUAAAGGGAGCGUAGGUGGAUUGUUAAGUCAGUUGUGAAAGUUUGCGGCUCAACCGUAAAAUUGCAGUUGAAACUGGCAGUCUUGAGUACAGUAGAGGUGGGCGGAAUUCGUGGUGUAGCGGUGAAAUGCUUAGAUAUCACGAAGAACUCCGAUUGCGAAGGCAGUUCACUGGACUGCAACUGACACUGAGGCUCGAAAGUGUGGGUAUCAAACAGGAUUAGAUACCCGAGUAGUC
rnacentral:rRNA from 1 species